rnacentral:tRNA from 1 species
UACGGACUUAAAAUCCGUCGAUUUUAAAAAUCGUGA